UUUUUUUUUUUUUUUUUCCUGGGUAAGAAUAUGCAUCUUCCUUAAAUCUAUUUAUUUUAUAACUCUAUUUAUUGUCACUUGAGGCAAACUGAUUCGAAUUGAAACUUGGCAAACAGUGAUGAAGGUCGUCCACGACCGCCGUCAGGUUUUAAAGUUAUUUUCUAUCAAAUUCUUUUUACGUUUUUAUGAAUAUGUUUUUUAAUUAUUUUUUUAUCUCAUAUAGAUUUAUAUAUAUAUAUAUAUAUAUAUAUAUAUAUAUAUAUAUAUAUCAAAUUAUUAUAAUAUAUUUUCUCUAAAAACUUUAGAAAAUUAUAAUCUAAACAAGACCUAAUUAGCAGCUUGGAAUAUUAACGUAGAAAUCCACAAACAAAAAAUUGGGAAGAAAACAAGAGCAUGCGAUGCGUGAUCCAAGGAUUCCAGAUGCAACACCACCGACGGGACGACCGUGCAAACUGCAAAGUGCAAAACUCUGCACUGGUGGACCCCUCCACCCCAUUGCUGGCCCCCGUGAUUAAUGCUUAAACCAUUUGCCGCGUGUUCCCAAGUCUCCCUUCAUUAGCCCCCACAGCCCAAAACCUAAUACUUCUUCCCCUGCGUCUCCCUCUCCCAACCGGAUCCCCCCGGCGGGGGGCACAAGGAGUUAAUUUUUUUUAACAAUAAUAGUAUUUAUAUAAUCUAUUUUAUCCCAUCAUUAUAGAAGGGGAGGGGGAUCUAACCUACGAAAGGAAGUCAUUGAAGUGACAAGUCAUAAAUAGUGAUCGAUGGUAGUAAAUGUUUAAAUUCUUGAUCUUUCACCCACGGUUAAAAAGUCUUGGUAAUGACUAACGGACCAAUUGGCUAUUUAAUGAUGCAACCAAGACUUAAUGAUGUGACACUUUUUAAAUUUUUGUAAUAAUACCUUUAUAUGAAAUAUUUGUAAAACUUUAUAUCGGACGUAUAAUUAUUAUGCAUGAAAUUCAUAUAAAUAAUAUUAAUAAAAUAUUACAUUCUUGUUAUAAGCAUGUACAAAUAGUUAAAAAACAGUUAUAACUUAUUUUAGAAAAUGUUACACUAUUCUAGGCUAGAAUUUCUAGCAUUGACAAUCGUCAAUGGCCUGCAUCUCUUGCGAGAGGAAAGCAGUAAACAAACUUUUUUUCCCCUUUUUUUAAACCUAAUCUAAUUAGAUUUACCCUUCUCCGUUACUAAUUAAGGUGACACAGUCCUCAUAAGUACUGCAAGAGUAAAGAAGUUCUCAGCUUUCUUUUUUUUUUUUUUGGUUCCUUUUUUUAAUCUCAUCUCUAAAUGCAGAGGCGGCAUUAUUGGUUCCCCUCUCCACCAUCUAAUCCCACUAAGUGAUACUAGUCGCGUAGCCCAGAGGAGGGAGAACAGAAAGAUACAGCCAGCAACUUCAUUCUCUCUCUCUCUCUCUCACUCUGAGUCUUUCUGACAGAAGAAGAUUUCCUCUCCUCCACCCCCACCCCGGCGCAUCCCCAAACAAAACCCCCAAAAUUGUUGCAGCGGUAGCGCAUAGCAAUGGCUUUAACAGCUGCUGCUUUACCAUUCUUUGUUUUGGUGUCUUCAAUAUGCAUUGAUGUUUCCUCAGCCUCCCAAUCCCAUUACCGGCAAAUUCGGCCCCCGCAGCUCACCACCAACUAUUAUCAGAAAAGCUGCCCCAGAUUUGAGCAGAUCAUUCAAGACACCACCACUAACAAGCAGAUCAGCUCCCCCACCACCGCCGCCGCCACCCUCCGCCUCUUCUUCCACGACGCCCUCCUGCAAGGCUGCGACGCCUCCGUCCUCAUCUCCUCCACUCCCUUCAACAAGGCAGAACGCGACGCCGACAUUAACCUCUCCCUCCCUGGCGACGGCUUCGACGUCGUCGUCCGCGCCAAGACCGCCCUCGAGCUCGCCUGCCCCGGCGUCGUCUCCUGCGCCGACAUCUUGGCCGUCGCCACCCGCAACCUGGUCACCAUGGCCGGCGGCCCUUACUACCCGGUUAGGCUCGGCGCGCCGGGACGGUUUAGUCUCCAAAGCAUCCGCCGUCCAAGGAAAUCUUCCCCUCCCCACAAUGUCCCUGAGUGAAAUCAUAAAAAUAUUCGGGUCCAGGGGCUUUUCGGUCCAAGAAAUGGUGGCGCUCUCGGGCGCUCACACCAUAGGAUUCUCGCAUUGCAAGGAAUUCAGCUCAAACAUCUACAAUUACAGCAGCGCCUUAGAGUCGGAUCCUCCUACAACCCGAGGUUCGCGGCGGCAUUGAGAAAUGCCUGUGCGGAUUAUAAGAAGAAUCCGACGCUCUCAGUGUUCAACGACGUAAUGAGUCCGAACAAGUUCGACAAUAAGUACUUCCAGAACUUGCCGGAGGGGGGGGUUUUGUCGUCGGAUCGAAUGUUGUACUCGGAUGGGAGGACGAGGCCGUACGUGGAGCUGUACGCUAAGGAUCAGGAUGCAUUCUUCAAGGCAUUUGUCUGGCGAUGCAGAAGCUGAGCGAGGGCGGUGUGAAGACUGGAGGGGCAGGUGAGAUCAGACGAAGGUGCGAUGCUUUCAACAACUGAUAGAUAUUUUGAUCGAGUGAAAAAUUCAGGGAGCGACUUUUAAAUAUUGGUUGAUCCUCAGCUCUUCUUUCUUUCCUUCUUUGCUUACCAUUUUUUGUAUUUUUCAAUUGAGAGAAUUUAUUUAUGCAUACACAAAAUAUUUACUAGUAUUUAAAAUAAAAUUUUAAUUUUCCUGUAAUAGCACUCCUAGUCAUGAAUUCCAUUCAUAAGCCAACUGCAAAUAAAUCACCAUUAAGAUUAGUAGUGUUAGCCACCAAACCAAGUACAGGAAUGUCAGAGUGAAAUGUUAAGAACAACCCAAAUUAGUAGAUGGGAUUCGCAGCAGACAGUUAGAAUCCUAUCCUGUGUUGGGAAGGCGGGGCAAUCUUGACACAGUAAUUCCAAGUGUGUAUUGAAGCUGGAAAUCUUCGAGUUAUAGGACUGAUCUGCUGCUGCAUCUCAAAAAUUCUUCCCACUGGACUUUUAAUUAACCAGUUGUCUUUGUCCAGGGUGUGGUGUACUAUAAGACUGACUCUGCUCCAUCCAAGAAAUCUUUGAAGAAGCCAAUAAUGAACUAUGAAACCAAACCAAACUUUUAAUUUUAACAACAAAUCGUUUCUGGUAGGCGCCAUUAACGAUCAAAUCGUUUAAGCACUCUUCCCAAAAGAAAUCUCCGAAAACUUCUGAUUUAUUCACAACCAAAUGCUUUUAAUUUUACUAAUUUAUUAUUAGCACCACUCUUCCACUACCAGAAAGGAAGAAAGAUUUAAGGAAAAAUAGAGAACCGGAGAACGCGCUCUCGAACGCCAAAAAAAAAAUCACUUUACCCAGAAAGUCAUCCGCUAUCAUGGCAUGGCAUAUUGGCAUGGGUUUCUCCUGCCUGGAGAAUCGGACUGUUCACAGCACUGCAACCGCCGCAGAAGAACCGGACCCCUCACCGGAUUGAUGCUCUGCCCCUGCCUGAACUCGCAUCCUCGUCGUCAGAUUUCAGCAACUCCUCCCAAUCCACCGCCUCUUCCUCCUCAUCCUUUUGUUUCAGAACCUCCAAAAUCCUCCUCACCUUCUCCUUUGACCGCUCGCUUCCCAUCUCCUCCAACUUCUUCAACACUUCCUCUGCGUUGGCCUCCUUCCCCAAUCCUUAAACCUUAACCCCCCGUGACUCAACCCGUACAGUGCCCCCACGCAGCUCUCUCGAGUCGAAUCCGACUCAAAAUUCUCCCUCUCGAGCAUCUCGAUAAAAUAUCCCACUGCCCCACCGUCCAGCAUCGCCCCCCGCCCUUCCGCGCUGGCCGCUAAAUUGCACAGCACCAAGAGGAUCCGACCCGUCAUGUGCCCCGAUCUUGCCAUGCCCAGCAACACUUGCACUGAUCCCAUUUUCACCAUUUUAACCCGAUUGCUCUGGACCAGAGAAAGAUGAUAAAGUGCCAAGGCCGAGUCAUGGCGAGUCCGCUCCGAGUCAGACCGGAGAGCGUGUAGAAGCGGAGGCAGCCCGCCUAACACCCCAAUUGCUGUCUUGUUCUGAUCAUCAAGCGCCAAACUGAAGAGGGCACCCGCAGCGUGGUCCUGCGACUCGGGGAAUCCACCCCUCAGAACACCAAUCACAGGGGGACGAUCCCUGACCUCACGAUAUUGACCUUGUUUCGAUUCUCUAGGGACAGGUUCACCACAAUGGCGACUGAGUUCACCUGAACAGAAGCGUGUUUGGAGGUGAUGAGAGGCCGGAGAGCCGAGAGUAGACGAGCCGUGCAGAGAUUCACCCGGGAUUCCUCCUGCGUCCGGGUUAGUUUCCGGAGGGAAAGCAGAGCCUCCUCUUGCUCGAACACUUGAGAGCUCCUGAGCUUGGUCACGAACUCGGCCUCUUCGAGGGAGCUAGGGUGAUUCGAGGACUCGAUAUCUGAGGAGGACGAAGAAGAGCAGCAACAAGAGGGGCUGGUGGUGAAAGGCAGAGGAGUGGUGGGCCCGCUGAUGACAGCGGCGGCCGUCACGGAUUCCUCGGAGCUGGUGGAAACUUGACUAGGCGUCCGAGUCAGCUCGGUUUCUUGGGAGGAGAACACUGAUAAUUGAUGAUUAGGUUUCUGCUGGGAGCGGGAAGCGAGCAAUAAGGUGCGAACGAGGUUAUGAGCGGAGCAGAAAUCGAGGGGUUUGGGAGGAAGGGUAAAGAGGGUAGAAUGGCACCAGCUGAGGAUAGCGGACUUGAGGGCGAGGUUAGGGAUGAGGGUGGAGAAAUCGGGAACGGAGCCGUCGGGGAGGGUGGGCCUGAAGUUGAGGGACUUGCAGGCAUCGAUGCAGUUGCGCUCGAAGGAGUGGCCGGAGGAGACAAUAACUGGGUCGACCAUGAGGGAGCCGGAGAUGGGGCAGACGAAUUCCGGAGGAGGUUGGAUUUUUUGCUUUGGGGAUUUCUCGAAGUGGAUUUUCCACUUGGGCAGCUGCUUCUGCUUGGCGCCACUGCCCAUCUCCCUUUUUCUUUGUUGUUUUGAUCCUGAAAAGGUUUUCAUAUGUGAGGGAUAUUACGGAUGGAUAGGCAGAUUUCAAAUCGGGUAGGUGUUGCGGAUGGUGAUGAUGAUGAUAGCAGUAAUCUUAUCAACUUUGAAAGAGGGAUUGUAGUGCUGAUUACAAUUGGGGACAUGAUGAUGAUAAUAAUAUUCUGCCACUAGCUGAUGAAUCUCUCUCUCUCUCUCGUUGCACAGAUUGCUACAGAGUGUAACAGACUAGCCAGUUGAGUAAAGCGAGGAGCGGAAGUGAAGGGAAGAGAUAACUAUUCUUCUUCCGGUCAGGGAGCUAGAUAACUAUUCUUCUUCCGGUCAGGGAGCUAGCUAGAAUCAACGAGCGAUCUCCGGAGGAUCUCUCUCUCUCUCUCUCUCUAUUGCGUUGGUUGAUACACCCCUGCUUGAUAGGCAGCCAGAGUGCGCAUUGGCGACUGGCCAGAUUCGAAUGUUUAUGAUCAAAUUGGCGACUAUGAAAUACUACAACUACGGCUACGAGGAACUGUCAAGUUGUCAGCACUCAACUCGACUGUGAGAUGGUGCUAAUCAUUUCCUUAAAAGCUUUGCGUCACAAGGAAGGAUCUUUGCUGCUGACUUCCUGUCCUUUUUUUAAAAAAAAAAAAAAAAAAAUUCACUGUCUUACCCUUCAAUGGUUUGUUUGGAUUGUGUUUUAUUUGGAAUAUUUAUACUGUAGCAUUUUUUGUGAUGUGAUUUGAAAAUUGUAAUGAUGAUGUAAAUAGAUAAAAUUGGAGAAAUAAAACACAGUCCAAACAAACCAAUUUAUGGUUAAUAACGGGAGCUUCCAGGAAGGAAAUUUUUAUUUUUCAAGUAUUUGUUUUUGGUUUGUGCUACUCCUGUUUCUUUUCUUGAUGAUUCCUUUACAUGACAAAAACAGACGGCAGGAUCCGACGGAUGGCUUUCUUUGACACGAGCCAAAACCUUAGUGAGAUUUUGUUUUUUGUGGCACCCCCGCCCCGAGUUUUUGCUUAUUCCAUCGACGACUCUCUGUCAUUUUCACGGGAGUUUGUGACUUCGUGGAAUUGAAGUGUAGGCCACCGAGGGACCUUUUCGCCAAUCAAACCGACCCCUUUCUAAUCUUGUCUAGUCUUGAAAAGCUCAGAAAGAAUUUGAGGUUAAAACUCUCCCAACAUAAAAAGCCAUACAGAGAGCGCUGUGACAUCAAUGAAUAAUAAACAUAUAAGCAUGGAAGAGCACUACACGACUCUCUAAUUAUUAUUUUUUUUGUCCCGAAAAACCUUAAUAACUAAGGUUCACCCUCUGUCGUCGCCUUGUUCUAGGCUGGAUGGAUGGAUGGCCCCUUUUCUCAAAGCUAUCCCCGUAAAGCUCGCUCUUCCACCUUCUCCCUGUCUAUAAUCAUUUAAGUAAUACUUAGUCGUAGUAUCAAACAACUGUACUAUUAUUUGAUUUUUUCAGCGCAGUUUAAGAAAAAGUAGUUAAUUUUAUUGGAACAGAUCAAUUUAGGUAACUAUUGUUCUAAAACCCUCAUAUUAAUUAGAGUAUAACUUUAUGGGAACUUGAAUUGAUAGUGAAAAAGAAUCAACUCUCAUUAAUAGGGUAGAUUUAUAGUAACAACAACUUACAUUGAAUAAGGGUAUUUUAGAAAAAUUAAAAUACAACUGCAUUCUUCAAUUGAAAAAUAAAUUACAAUUUGGGACAGACGAAAAAGAGUAACGGAACUAUCAAAAUGGGACGAAAGGAGUAUUCUUUUUUAAAGGGCGAAAAAGGUCUUUCCUUUCUCUCUCCUCCAAUAAUGUUGAGCCCGUUGGCAGGUCUUUCCUUUCUCUUCUCCUCCAAUAAUGUUAAGCUACGUACAACUAUGUAGUGAGUAUUAAUUUAAGGCCCUCGUUAUUCCAAUGGUUCUGUACCACAAUACCAGUGCUUUGCUAUACCGCUAGAAAGUUAUUCAUUCAAUUGUUCUAAAAGCAGCAACACUACUCUAGCUUUGGUUCGAGAAAAAGACGUAGUAGAUAUGUAUUUGAGCUUUGAACUUUAUGAAAGGAAGAGCAUUCUCCUGCUUUACAAAUUGGCACCAACACCAUCUACCUUUUGUUUGUUGCAGCCAUAUGAGAGGAAAUGAUUCAAUUGGGUUAUUGCUGUCCAUUUUUAUGCAACACAUGCCCUGUUUUGGGUUGGUGCCUCUCCAUGCCUUUUAGUUGGUGAUGAUCUCUCUUGGUUACAUACUGUAUCCAGCAUGAUGGCCCGUGCAUUAGUUGGAGACUAAUAGCUGUUUCGAAGAGGGAGAAAAAAAAAAAAACUUAAAUGCAAAGGCUAAAGUGAAUGAUUUCACCUGAAAGUACUUUAUUCAUUAGUACUUGGGAAAAAUAGGUUCCUGCUAAAUUCCCUCAAAUUCUUUUCGGAUUGCUUUCGGUAUGAGAAGUCUGAAAAUCUGGGAAGUUUUCUUCUUUUGGGUGUUGGGGGCCACCCGGGGGGAGGGGGGGGGCGUGGUUGCAACUCUCCCGUACAACAUUGUGGCCUCACAAGUUUGAUUUCAAACAAGUUUGCUUUGGAGUAUAAAUGAGUUGGAUUAGAAUGUAAAUAAGUUACAACAUAGUGUAAAAAAAAAUUUCAAAUAGCUAUUUUACCUUGAAAUGGAGUCACAUAAAAUUUGUGAGGCUCGAAUUGUGACAUGACACCUCAAAUCCAGUUGGAUUAUCAAUAGUGUCACUACUCAAUGCCAAUCUCACUUAUCAGGUGAGGUGAGUGUAAAAGAAACUUAAAUAAAUAGCAUAUAACAAGUUAAAUAAAUAGGAUAUCUAUAUCUAUAUAAAUUUGAGAAGCGAUUUUUAGCAACAAGCCUCCACGCAUCUUCCCACUAUCAAUUCCAUUUUUCUAACAUUUCAUAUUUAAUUUAAUAAAAAAUAUAUUUUUUUCAACUUCCACAUCUAUUUUUCACAUUUGAAAUUGUUGGUUACUUUUUAAAAUCAUUUUAUUUCAAAUUGUUGGUUAAUGUGCAUGUUAUUCUAUUUGAACUUCAACCCAUCACGUUUCCGAUUAUCUUGCGUUAUUUAUGAUUCUACAACAACUAAAACUUCUAUAAGACCAUAAGAAGAGAUAACAAAUAUAACAUCCUUUCAUGCUUUCUUAUUAAUUUAAAUGAGUAAGAUUAUUUACAGCCCAUUUUUGUUAUUCACACUUCAAUAAUCAUAAGUAAGAGGUGGCUUCCAUGCCUUUCUAAUUUAAAAAAAUAGUGGCUCCACUUAUAUAGGAAUUUAGUUUGAAGUUUAUUAGUGGGAGGGUAAAUAAAAAAAAAACAUUGCCAAACUUAAUAAAAGUAAAAAAGUAAAUGAUAAUAUUUUAUCUUUUAACUAAGUAAUCCUAAGUAAAAGGGUAAAAUUAAAUAGAAAACAAAAAGGAAAUAAUGUCGUGGAUUUAAAAAUCAAGAAUUGUAUCAUUCGUGAAAUCCAAAUUAUAAAAUCACUAAAUAAAAAAUAAAGUACUACUAGCCUCCCACAUUAAUUCAUUGUUCAUACCAGCACAUUAAUUCAUGCAAAAAUCGUGCCUUCUCAUUUAUAAUACGAAUUCCAUAAAAUUCAACAAAAAUAAUUAAUCUCCCAAUAUUGGUGUUCGUACUUAGAGUUGAUUGGUGUGAAAAAUGUUCACACCUUCGUAGAAGAUUAUCAAAUCGAAUGCAAAAUGUUUGUAAGUAUUUCAUUUACUUAUCAAUUUACAUAUUCAAUUACAUUUAAUUGGACCCUUAUAUUGCUCGAUUUGUGAUAUACAUUUCUACUUUUUUCAGGAUCCAACUUCCAUCAAAAGUGAUAGUUGUUUAUAAAUAAUGAACAUGUUUUUAUCAUACUUUGAACUAUUGCUACAAAAUUUUAUUUUUUUAACUAUAUUUUGAUGUGCCCUAAAUGGUACAAGCAAUUACAUAAAUUUUUUACUCUUUUUAAAUUCCUUCCUCAAUUAUAAUUUAUUCCAAAAAUACAACUUACUGUGCGUAGCGCAAGUGUUUAGACUAAUUUGGCAUAAAUAUAGAAGUGGUACUAAGGCUUUCACGUGCCUCAAAUCACGUGUGUUUACGUUGGAGUGGGAAGGUAAAUGCAUAUUUAUCAAAUGCUCAUGCACUUUGUCUUUCUUAGUUUAUAUAUUUGGCACUCCUUGUUUUUAGGUGUUACAGAAAACAAUUUUUUUUUACGGUAGAAGACAUUAACAAGUAAAAACCCUAAAGCUUUAUAAGGACAUUUUAAAAAGUAUAUCUUAAAAGAUACCCCACCAUUAGUCCCAAAACUUUCAUCACUAUCAUUAUCACCUCUUCCUUUCCUCUUCCCUACCACCUUUCUAAGAGAGAAAGACUUCUCCAUGCAACCCUAAACUUACUACCAUUGUCUCUCCUUUUUCCCUCCCUAAAUUUGGAGGAAAUAGGAGAGGGUUAGCAAGGGGAAGAAGAGGUGGGCAAUAAGGGGUAGGAGAGAAGAGAAGAAAAAGGGCGCAGCCGUUAGGAAGGUAGAAAGAGAUAUAGGGAGGGAAGGAGUCAGGCGUUAUGAGUGUUUUCAGACAAAUAACUAUUAUUUUUCUAAAACAAUAAUAAUGAGUUAUAAUAAAUUUUAGACAUACACUUCAAAAAAUAUAUAUAGCAUCCAUCCAAUCGAACCUUAAGUUACUUGUGAGUUGUGAGCGUUGGCAUCAAGCAAACGACAUUCUAAUCUAAAAAAUUUAUCGGCAUGACUGGUAAAUUCUAUCAUUUUUUGAGUGUCAUACUCAUGAUUACCCAAUAAACUCUUACCAUGUCAUUUAAACAAAUCAUCUAAAAGGUCAAAUUUCUAUUCACACAUCUAAGAGCGAGUAGGGUAGAUAUUCAUCACUAUGGUAUCCAGAAGGUACUCGAGAACUCCAGCAUAAACUAACGAAUGGUUCUCUUUAACGGAGAGACGAAUUGGAGGCACUGCGCGUGCCGUCCUACGAGUCCAAAUUCACUGUGCUGGCCAUAACAAGAAUUGUUAAUGGGCUUUACAGCCGCCAAGCCCAUGGAACAUCCUAGAAGAAGAAUCGAACACCGACCCAAUUCCACUGCGGUGGCCAAUAGCGCGCAAAGAAGCGCGUGAAUGACAAAAGGAUGCGCACAAGGCAGACUAGGAGGCUACGUCGGAUAUAUAAAUAAAUAUGCAUCUACUAGGCUUAUGCCCAAGCCAUCGUCUAGCAGAAAGAAAGAAAGCCAUAAGCGUAAGCCUAUAAAUAACUAGAAACGCUCCUCCUCCCCGCUUCAGAGAAAUCAGAACAACAAUCAAAUCUUUGACCAGAAUUCCGAUCAGAAUCGAUACUUCGUAUAAUUGUCGAUUAGUAGUCCAAGGAAGAAAAGAAAAUCACUCUUCAUCAUCACCAUCUUUUUUCCUUCCUGCUCUGCUGUUGGGACAGAUUAGGAAACCAUAUUCAGGCGAGAAAAAAGAACAAAAUUUUCAAUGGAAGGAGGAGGGACGGAAGCUUUCCCGGAUUUAGGGAGGCACUGCCAACACUCUGAUUGCCAUCAACUCGAUUUUCUCCCCUUUAAAUGUGGUGCCUGCCAUAAGGUAGUUCUACUACUAAUUUCUUUAAUCAUCUUUUCGUUCAAAAUCCUCCUCAAAAUUUAUUCUACGCGUCAAGCGACUUGAUUGACUGUCUAAUUAAUACAAUGAUGAUCCUAUCAACAUUCAACUUCAAACUCGGAUUUUGCAGGUCUUUUGCUCGGAGCAACCGAUCCUACAAGGCCCACGACUGCCCCAAAUCGGAGCACAACAGCCGGAAAGUUGUGGUCUGUGAAAUAUGUUCGACGUCGAUUGAGACCACCGGGUAUGACGGUGUAGAUGAGAAAUUCUGCACUGAAGAAACACGAGAAAUCAGGGAUUGUGACCCCAAAAAGAAGAAGAAGCCCACCUGCCCAGUUAGGCGGUGCAAGGAGGUUUUGACCUUCUCCAACUCCAGCACCUGCAACACUGCCAGAUUAAAGUUUGCUUGAAACAUCGAUUUCCAGCAGACCAUGCGUGCUCCAAGCACAUGAUCUCUUCGUUUUCAACUUUGGCCAAGGAUGGAAGGAAGCCAAUAGCAAAUUCUUGCUUGCUUUGGCUUCAAGAAACGGAAAGGAUUGUCCGGGAACAAAACUCGUGGUUCUACUUCACCUCCUGCACCUUCUGUCAAAGCUCAUUGAUCCAAAAAAAAAAAAAAAAAAGUGGAUGAAGAAAACAAAAGUCAAAAAAUUUGCAGGAUUCAGCUCCAUAUACAUGUAAAUAGUAAAGCAUCUUGCCAUUUUAGUUCCGCCCCUCCAAGAUUAGGGUGCAUUAAUGAAUGAUUUACUUUUGACUCCUUGAUUUUUAGGAUGCAUCAAGAUAAAAACACGCUUUGUUGCUGAUAUCUUUUGAAGCAUCCUACAUAUAAACAAGACAUUGGUCAAAUUCCAUUUGCGUUGCAUGAACAAGAGACUUGCUCAUGCUUUGAUACAGAUUUACCAACUGUUAAACGCCUAUACACAGGCAAACAACUGCACACGUAUUUUGUGUGUAGCUUUUGAAACUUCCAUUUAGUAGACUGGGCGAAAUAAAAAGUAGCACAUUUUUGAAUUUAAUUUCCUGAAUUACAUCGCUGGUGGCAUUCAUGCAGCAGAGGUAGUCCUGCUGAAGGUCGUUUAGCUCGGGCAACAUAGCUAUUAGGAUUUUCCUUCCUUGGUCCCUGAAAGGCAAAUGAGACUUGUCAGGAAGCUAAUUAUAGACGACGAUGGCAAGGCACAAAAUGGAAUACACGUUCAUGCUAAACACAAGUUCCAACUGUACAAAAAUAACCGAUUUUGUUGUUGAGCAAGCCAAGGGUACACCUGCCUCAAGAAUCGAGAUCGAAUGGACAAAAGAAAGCGGAACCUUAAAAAAAAAAAGUGAAUAUACAUAACAAUAAUCUGCUUCAAUAAGGCCACCUUUGUCUAUGAGAAUCUAUUUUCAAAGGUCGCUUGAAGUAACAACUGCCAAAAUUCACAAUAACUCAGUAUCCAUCUCAAUCAGCUUUAGAAACAAAACCUUUGGUUUGCGAAAUGAAUCGCAGAGAUCUGAUAUCUCCAUUCAGUCAUGAAAAUUUUUACCUUACCAAAACUAUAGGGCUGCUUAUCUUGCUCUUCAUUUAAUUAUUUUCAUUUACUCUUCAAUUUGAAGCAAGAAUGGUAAUCGUCUCUAAGGUGCACUUCUAAUUGACAUUAACAAUCAUCAUCAAGCUAAUGUUGCAAGGAAGUAAGGGUUUCCAGCGUAAAAAAGUAUAAAUACCAUUGGUAUACCCAAUUCCUUCAAGUCACGGUCUCCCAUCUGCUUCAAUGCAGCCAUGUCCACCUGCAAUGAAAAUUAAACAUGCGGUAAAGCGAUAGAAUCAAUGCACAAGACUUAAUGUGUAGCAAUAUAUUGGUGAUAGUAUACCCACAUUGGUGAUAGUAACUGUAAAGCAAGUGGUGGUUGAAUCAAGAGAGAUUUCUAUGAACAAGCUUGCAAAUGCCAUGGGUUACAAUCUUGGUCUCUCUUUACACAAGUAACUCGUGCAACAAUCAACAUCUUAUACAUGAAGCUCAUCCCCUAAUUCUGCUUGUUUCUGGGUGAUCAUUUAGGUUGGGGGAGGUGAAGAGAGAGAGUGGAUGGAUGUCCCCAUAACAGGGGCUAAUGUCUAAGGUUCAUAUGCCCAAACUAAUAAUCAUUCAAAAUUAGCAAUAAGUACUUGAGUGCCCUGGAAAACUCAAUACUUGGUGAAGAUAACACACACAUGCUGUACUUGCAAACAUUUGAAAAGUGGCAAGGAAAAAUAAAUCAAACAAUAAAUCUUCCAACCAUUUGCAAGCAUCUCAUGGUAAAGUCAAUUGAUUUUAGUGAUCAUCUGUCUAUGCUUGUUUUGCGAGAAUUUUAACAAGCAAGCUUGGGAUGUGGGAGAUAGACAUCUUCAAAAGACAACAUUGAGGACAAAGUGAUCUAUUAGAACUCCUUGCCUCAGCAUGGCACUUUAUCCUCAAUCUUCAGCAAAAGAAAAGAAACAUGAAGAACAGACCCUCAAAUUCCCACAUAUCACCAAAAUGUGGAUGGUACAGAAGUAUAUUAAAUAAAUCAAGUUACCUCCUCUGCCUGAAAAAGGAUGGCGUACUUGCCCAAACCAAGUGAAUGCAACAAGCUAGUGACAGUAAGAUGUUCAUCCUAUGCAAACAACAGGUAAAAACCAUCAAGAGGGCAUUGACAACAGUGACUAAGGAAACUAAUGCAGGGAAAAGGCAAAAUUAGCAAAAAAACUAUGUAGUACACUUGUAUUUGGAUACAUAAUAAGUGCAACGUUAAAUGGUGAAAAUGCAGCGACUGAUGUUAAAUCUACUUAAAAGUUUUUUUAGAAAAAAUGUAGUACUCCAAACAGAUUUAAGAACAAAAAAUGUAACUGUGUUGCUCAAAGUAAUCUGAACAUGGUAAGAAAGUCUAUCAUAAGAUGAACUAAUGAACUAUUUGUUAAGCAUUAUCUAACAAGAAGGCAGCAUAUGAGUCUUAUUGUCCACUGGUCUAAUUUCAGCGUCUCCAAAUUCACAAGCGUAACCAAUUUUUCCUUUACAAAAUUGAUAACUGUCAAUCAAGGCACUUCUAAGUUAGCCACCAAUCUCUUGGCCGCCAUAAUAAUAUGCUAGAGUAAGAUAAAGUAAAAGCAGAAGGUAAAUUCAUACAGCAUAAGUGUUUCUCAGCAUACUGCUACUUGCUGGUGGAAGAUCCUUGAAAGGCUUGCUAGGAUCCAGACUGGUCCUUGUGGUUGCAGCCAUAACCCUCAUAGAUGUAGGGCCCUUUUGCGAAGGAUCCAAGAGAUCAGAAGACACCAUACGUCCAGCUCUGGAAGCCAAGACUGGCAUUGGUGAUUGCAGCACCUCACCAAUAGCCCUUGAGGAUGAUAUGCCUCCAGACAUUUGGGGAUUCCUAGUGGGGCUUUAAUUCUUAAUCCAUCCACAGUAUAAGAACUGUAAGACUUUGCAAUGAUUCCAUCCGCAAUGAUUCACCAGCCCUUCUUAAUGGUGCAAUAUUUCUCGAAAGAGAUCUUUCAGGCCCUUCUGAAGAUUGAGUAUUCCACGACAUCUUUUCCAGUAGUUCCUUCUUCUUCUGUUCCUCAAUUCGCCUGGACAUUCUUUUGUGCAAUAGUUUCAGACGUAAGUCAUUUCCGCUUAAGCUUACAUCUUCAUAUACCAAUUUCAGUUGAAGAGAAGUUAAGAUACAGACCAAAAACUAUGCGAUAUUAAUCUGAUAAAAGUUAAGACAUAUGAAGCUUACCAGCAGAGCCAGUGUAUCCGGAAUUUCUUGAAAUUAUAUCCUCCUGGAGUCUGAAAGCAUGACAUCAAAACCCACUAAAAUCAAAUUGACACCAGUAGUUCCGACCACUAAAAGACCACAGAAAUCUUCAACCUAACAGAUUGAAAAAUAUACAGCAGAAGAAAGAAAUUGAUAUUAAGGGAUAACGAACAGAAUGUGACAUUUUAUCACUUCUAAAGGAACUCAAUUAUGAGUUCUGAAGGGCCAAAAAUACUAAGCAAGAGUAUCUUACUGGCUAGAGAAAGGUGUUAGAUUCCCUCAUGUGUUAUGUGAAAAACAGGAAAAAUUAAAGUAUUUAUGUGAUCUGUAAAUUAAAGAGCAGUCAGCAGAGAUUGAGCAUAGUUUUUGAAGAAAAAUGGUGAGGAAAAAAUUGGGAUAGGAAGCACCAACCUCUUGUUGGUGUAAAACAAAGAAUCUUGAGCGCUGCCAUUGGCCCUAGAUCUUUUGGUUCCUGAUAAUGCAGGAGCAUCGCUAAGGAAACCCUCAGAGUUAUCCGACGUCCUCCUUACUACCUUCUGCAAAUCAAACAUAAAUAUCACAAACACAGCACAACAUACAGUUGAAACACUUAAUUCAGAAAUUCAUAAUGACUCCGAAGUUGACCUGCAGGUCCAAACACAAGUAUCAAGAAAUUAGACCUCAUAGCGUGGGGGCCGCGGGAAGGGGAAAAGAGAUCGAAGACCAUGGGGAUGAAUCAUGACGUUUCCCAACCCCUCGAAAAGAAAUGGUGGGAAAAAAGAACAGAAAAAGAAGAAAUGGAAAGGGAAAGAUAAAGGAAGGCUUACUUGACCAGAGCGUCCAAGAGUGAUGGUCACCUGAGGUCUUGCCAUAACUUGAUCUUGCUCCCCUCCUUCACAAUACCCAAAGCUCAAGUGGCCGGAAGUUUAACCCAGUAAUUAUUAAAUAAUAAUAAAAAAAAAGAUGGGUGAAUUACGUCAAUGAAUAAAAUCGAUCACAAAUAAGUAGGAGUAAUCAAUCUGGAGGAGUAAAAGUGGAGGUCAGCAUCCUCUCGGAAAGUUUCAUCGAAGAAUGCAAAAUGUCAAAAGGAUUGUAAACGGUGGGGAAGGCAAAUGACAAAAUGGCAAAGGAAUGUUUGCCGGAGAGUCUUGAGUGUAGUACCGCCGCAGCAGGAAAGGUACCGUAAAGGGCAAAAGCGUGGGGUGGGGUUGGAGUGGACUCAGUUACAAGUGUACUGUUUAGUAGUAUUUACUACUCCCUACCACGUAGACGUAGUCCAUGAAUGGGUCGGGCCGAUCCAUUCCAGGUGCAGCAAUAUUCAACAAAAUUUUCUUUUCUGCGGGUGGGAAGGGAAAUGACGCACGGCCUUGGCCCGAAACGGAGACAGGUAUCUAUCAAAAUUUGGACAAUUCUUUACUUUGAAAAGCUAAAUUGGACAAUCUAUUUGAAAAGGUAAAAAGAAAAAAAUUGCUUGACAAGUUUUUCAACAUUUAAAUUAGAUUAAAAUGGAUCAAGAAAUUCUCAUAAAAUGUUUAUGGUAAAGCUUAAAAGAAAAUAUUAAAUAUCAACUUUAUUUUUCUUUCUAAAUAAGCAAAGUUUUGUAUGUCAAUAGAAAUUAGUAACAUUUAAAAAAGAUUCUUAAGAAUGAAUUGAAUGAUAGUGAAAGAGAGAAAAAUGAAAUGUUUCAAAUUUAAAAUCUCUCACUUGCAUAAAAGAGAGAAAUUUAUAAACUUGUAUACGAUUUGUUUCAACAUCUUUCUAUCAUACAGGAUUAUGUUUAAAACAAUCGUUUGAAAUCUUUUAUAUAUAUAUAUAUAUAUAUAUAUAUAUAUAUAUAUACACACACGGCGGACGUGCGCGCACUAAAUUGCCUUGUUUAACUGAAAAACUACCAUUAGAAAAAUCACAAGGAAAGAAGGGAAACUCAAUGGCAGUUGCAAUCUAAUUGAGAAUUUGCGUUCUUCCGGCAACGCGUCGAGAAACUUGUUGCCUAAUCUGCAUUUUUAUUAACCAAAAUUGCAGAACUCGAUUCCUCCACUACAAUCUUUCAAGUCUGGACUGUCAUCAUUACUGAGUAAUAUGCUCGACGGCCCACCACGUAUCUGAACCAAAUAUGUCAUUACCUUCGAGAAGUGUGAUAACUUUGGUACAUCAAAAAUAUUUUACAACGCUACUUUCUUGAUUUGAACAAGUAUACAGAGGAUAACUUUCAUUAGACAAGUUAUCAGGACGAGUUAAAGCAUCACAUGUUUGCUGUUGUUUCCCUGAUCUCCUCAAGCGAUAUGGCCUGCAAGGAGAAGACAUUCAACAAUGUCAUAAAGGAGACGGAUACAAUGAAGUCCCAAGCUACCAAACUAACUUCAGUCGAAAGAAAACUUCAUUAUGGAAUAUCGAGUCCAAAGCAUAUCACAAAAAAAGGUCUAAAAGGAAAAACUCAAGUCACCUGUUCGUUCCCAGCAAAAUCGUUCUCAGCUGUGAGGAAAAGCAUGCAGUGGCACUCCUUCCUGCCCACAUGAACUUGUAAUUUUAGCAGAGUCUCAAAACCACUACAAAUGUGAAUAGUCAGAACAGGAAAACAACACAGCAGGGAACUGCAAAGAGAUUGAGGAAAUAAUGUGUGUUGGGCCAGCAAAGAGUAGCCUUCCCCUCUAGCCUCCCCUUUUAAAAUUUUUGAAUCCUUGGGACACUUUGCCUACACCAAUAUUAUACUCGAGAAAAAAGAAUGGAACGUAAAUGACCUAUGACCUUAGUAAUUCUAAUUGACGAAAUACUCAGUCUUCAGAACAAAACAGCUCUACUACUCUUCCAGUUGCAAAACAGAUGCAUGAGCUAUCAGAACAUACAUGUGACAUCUCCAUUGACUUUGAACACUUGCAAAAACUUCCUUUGUUUAAAUGGUUGCAAUCUUCAAGUCAUAUGCUCUACAUCAUCUUCAUUCAAAUUAACCAGCUAUUGAACUACCUUACAUGGAACCAUCAACAAUCAUUAUAAACAGCAUCUCAUUGUUAAAAACAUACAAAUUCUGCUAUCCAGUUUUCUUCAUCCAUUCCUGUAUUUGUUUUACGAUUUCAACUAUGGUCAUGUUACAAAAAAUUCUUGACCAGAUAAUGCAAUAAAUUGACAGAGUCCUGAUUGGAGAAAUAAAUAAAUCCAUUAAUCCACAAAAGAAGAAAAUGCAUCUGCAACUACAUUACCCGAAGAACAGAACAUUUAAUACAGGUUACACAAAAUGGAAUCAACCUACAUCUGAUAUCUUACCUCUCUCUCAUGGGAACACACGGGCAGUUCCAAAACCCUUGUUGCGCCUCUGCAACUUUAUCAUCAUAAUGCCUGGAAUUGAAAUCCAUAACUGAUUGAAUAGAGGAACAAAGCAUAGGUGCAAAUGCCUUUUUUAACAUUUUCAAUCAUAAGAAAAUAAGAUCAAAACAAGCAUCAGGAAAAGGAGCUCAUGAAUGGCUAUUUACCUACAGGGGCAGAGUGGUGCACCCAAAGUAUCCCUGUGCUCUGCCAAUCCCUGGCAACAGUCCAGAAAGAAUUUUGCAAACCAAAGUUACUGGAGAAAUGCCAUUUGCCAUAACUUUAAAGUAGAUCAUUCAAAUGAGAAAUGGUUUACUUCAGGCCACUUCCAUGAGUUAAAUUUUUCUGGUCAGUAUAUUUAUGUGCACGUACAGGAAGACUCUUAAUUUCAUUUUGAGCAAUUUAGCACCACCUCAAUAUUUCAAAUUAACUUUUGAUUCCAUUGAUACUGAUGCAUGAAAUUCCUUAAUCUUAUGAAAUCACAGAUCACAUCUUUUGCUGCAUCAAGAAAAUUGCAUCGACAAGGCUAGUGAUCAGAACACAAAUCCAUAUUUUUCUUAGUUUUUUUUUUUUUAAACUCAAAUCACAAAAAAUUAUCCAUCCAUAACAGAAUACGCCAAUUACAAAGAGGAGAAUAAAGACUACCACAGAAAUGUCUAUUGAAAAAUGUACAUAGAUAUGCUCAUAUUGCGCGUGUUUUAAUGCAUUUCUAUUCUCUACAUGCAGUGCUCAGAAUUUUCCAGUGGGGCAUUUCAAAUUGGUGUCCCUUCCUUACUCUUUUCCACAUAGGACCUACCAAGAUAAAAGCAGCAGAUUCUCCUUAGGACACAAAUAGUCCUUUCUAUCAUCUAGUAUUAGAAAACAUAUGGAAAGAAUCCACAAAACCAGCCCAAGUAUUAAACCAUCUAAACAUGUAUAGUUAAGAAUAAUAGUUUCUUCAGCAGAAUAUUGACUCGCGCAGAAGGCAGAAUAACGUUUUAGAAGCACAUGAAUUGCUGAAAUAGUAAAAGCGGAAGAAAAGAAGGGAAAAAAUACCUUGAUAACAACAGAAGUAACACCUUUGUCCAUACAGAAAUAGGUUCCGGACCUACGAGCAUACUGCUCCGAGAACUUUCUCAUGAUUUCCACAGAUUUCUCCGUCGGUUCCGCUACCAAACAAAAUUUUCACAAACAAUAUCUCUAGAUAAGUAACACGUAGUAAUUAAACGAAAAAAAAAAAAAAAAAAAGAGUACCAUCACCAAGACUAGCCUGAUAAUUUAAUUAAUAAUGUUUUAAUUCUUGUAAAAAAGGAGGUAAAGGAAGAUUGAGCAUUGGCUGAGGAACCUACAAGACUAGGUUCCAAUCAGAGACAACGCAUUUGGCAAUUAAUUUUGACUCUAAUCCUUCCGAAUUUCAGUAUUAGGGAUAAAAAUUAAACACAAAACAAAAGGAAAAGAAACAUGACAUACUAAUUAAACUAGUACCUUGAGCUAGGACGAGAGUGCGGUGACGAGACGGCCUUGAAGGCGGAGGGAAUGAUGAAACGGCAAAACCGACACCAUAGGAGGUUGACGCCUGAAGAGCUGUUGUCAUGGUGGAAGCUACAACUAAUUUGUUAGUUUGAAAAAAAAAAAAAAAUCCUUCUCACUAGUUUUGUUUAUCGCACUUGAUGAGUUAACAGAUGUUGUAGUAAUAAAUCUGAAGAAGGAGAAGAAAAAACUAGCAGCAGGAUUGUGGUGUUAUUGUGAGGGAAGACAGUUUGUUUUUGUAUGGUGGAUUUGAUGCGCCUGAGAAUAAUUAUAAUACGAAGAUUUUUUAUGGUUAUUUGCGGGUGAAGGUGGUUUGGUGAGGGCCACUCGUUGGCAAUAUCGGCCACCAAUCAAUCUUACGGAGCCACAGUACUGUGUUAUUAAUUUUCCACGCUACCGCCAUAUUGAAGUUCUCUAUCUAUCCUGGAUGAAUCUGUUUUUUACAUUUGGCCCAAAUGAUGCCGUUUCUGGCUUAAAAUUUGCGUUUCCGGAGGCCCACAAUUUGUACAGGCGGCUGUUCCCGGUCUCUACUUUCAUAAAGUCCUUGAAACCCAGCCCACUAGUCAGGGCUCCGGACGUUAGUUUGGUAUGUGAGAAAAGUUUGUAGCGCCUAAAAAGAGCCCGGAUUAAAAUAUAUAUAUAUAUAUUAAAAACCUCUAAAACCAAAAGGGGAGGGGAAAAAAGAUUAAAGUAUCAAAUAUUGAAAAGAAAUUGAUAUGUUUCUGCCGUUGCCACACACUUGCUACUUCUACGGCGGUCGUCUUCCAAAAAAUUUACAAAUAAAUAUAUUAGUGGUUGCAUUUUCACAAGAGUUUUUUUGAGAAUAAUUUCUAGUAUAUCACUUUUUAAUAAUGUAAUGUAUGUGAGAUUAAAAAAUAUAAUUAAAAAAUUUGUAAAAAUAAUAUUUACAAAAAGUUUUUUUUUAAAUUUUUCCAAAAAGUGACAAUACAGACAAGGCCUCAAUUUUCUGGUUAGGCUGCACUGCUGCUAUUAGGGGUGUGCAUCGAAUUCGAAAAUCGGUAAUUCGAAAGUUUGAAUUCGAAAUUUUGGUAUUUGAUAAUUUGACUGAAUUCGAUUUCGAAUUCAUACCGAAUUCAAUUCGAAAUUCGGUAAAUUCCAAUUUCACUGAAUUCGGAAAAAUUUAUAUAUUAUUAUAUAAUAUAAAAUUUAUAAUAUUAUAAUAUAAUAUUAUAUUACAUGUAUAAAAAUAUAUUUAUAUAUUAAAAACGAAUUUGAAAUCGAAAUCAGAAUUCAAAUUCCAAUUUGAAAAAUUCAACUAUCUAAUUCGAACAAAAUUCAAAAUAUAUGAAUUCGGAAAAUCAUGUCGGACCCUUCCAUUGUAAUAAGUUCCAUGCAGACUUCCCACCGAACUGCCUCUUCCUUGAAUAGUAGUUUUUUUUUCCCCCAAAGCAAAAUGGGCAGUCGGCGUCUUGUCACUGGAUCUCUCUCUCUCUCUCUCUCACACACUUUCUCUCGAUGAAAGGUUUGUCAAAAGGGAUCUCAAGUGAGCUUGUACAUUCAUACAGUAAAUUAAAUAAUUUAAAUAUACUAACUUGUGUCAAUUUAAAAAAACUUUUAAUCAUGCAGUUCAUUCUUCUUCCCGAUGCACCAAGCUUCUUUAAUCAUGCGGUUCCUCCCCACAUGGAUGGUGAUGGACCUCUACCGCUCCUCGACCAAGAAAUUACAAAUUCUGCAGAAAUUAGUAGCUGGCAGUAGAACAAAAUAACCUCUUCCACAACGCCCCCCUCCCCCACCCACAUAAAACACAGAAAUUACAUGUCCCAAGGCUUUUCUUGAACUCGACCAGAUGAUGUAAGCAUAUGUUAUCAUCAUCUUCACAUACAAUCAGAUUGGUUUUUCCAUGACCUUAAUUAAAUCUCUGAUGAUUCGUUCAUGAUUUUGAAUUUUUUUUGAACCGUAAGUAAAUCAUUUACGCACUGUCAAUAUAUACAAUUACGAGUCUAGAACUCCAGGUGAAUGCCAUAUGUGAAAAUUUUAACGUUUAAAUUUAAAUAUAAAUUACGUGAUAUGUAUCUAAAAACCUUUCAGUGUUUACAUGUUACGCGUACAAAUUUUGAUGUUUAAAUUUAAAUUAAAAUGAUAUGAAAUAUAUUUAAACUCAUCUUUUUUUUUUAUUAAUACAGAAGUGUCGGAUUAAUUUUUACAGGACCCGAUUAAUCCCCUAAAUCUGAAGUACUCCGCCACCCAAGAACACCCAGACAACAUGUGAGGCCAGACUCGAACCUGUGCUACCGUGAGGAUUACCCCAUGGCCUCACCGGUUGAGCUGACCCCGAUGGGCAUUUAAACUCGUCAGUCAGCUUAUAAAUUGCUAAUGUAAAAAAGAUUGGUUUUUUAAAAAAAUAUAUAUAUAUUCAUAACUACUUUUUUUUUGUGUUUCCAGAAAAAUGCACACCGAUAUUGAUUUGGUGAAGCUCUACGUCCGUUGAUCAGAAGGGGUAAUAAAGUGGCCAUCGGGACGCGUUGACUUGGUGGUUGGUACUUUGUACUAUUGUCUAGUGCAUCCAAGCCUAAAUCAAUCAUAGGUGUCCUCUCUUCAUUCAAUUCCCUCCUUUUUGCCUCUUUUUUUUUUUAACCACAAAAUGCCCCGAGAAUUUUCAGAGGGUGAAAUGAUAGCAAAACUGUAAAACAUCAACACGUCGCUAAUGCGCAUGGGAAUCCCAAGUGUUUCAAACCUUCAAUUCACCUUACUUGGAUUUAACUUUUCAAGCGUCAGUCAGGGGUUGACAAGCACUCCCACCGAAUAAAACUUAUAGUUAAUGUCAUUUGUGCUCGAAAGUCUACUGAACUUGGCUUCGUUAAUUAUGCUGUUGUCCUCACUGCUCAUCUCAAACAAACGCUAAUCCUUCAUCCUUGAAAAGUGUUCCACAAAGAUGAAUUUAUCCAACUCGAGAACAAACACAGCCGAAGUCAAUAUCUGAAAGAUCUGUGCAACCAGAGUCUCACGAAGCGUGGGCUAAGUUCUAAUUAAUACAAUGAUGGUCCAUUGGAUAAGACAGAAGAAGGCAAUUUUUUUUCAUUCACCGGGAACAGGAAAAGAAACCAUCAGCCUUUGGGCGGGUGGCCAUCACCAAUCUUGCCUCCCACCAAAAAAAUAUCGCAUCUAAGUGAUUUGUUUCUAAAAAAUUCAGACGAGUGUGCUGUGCAUCCGUCUGAUUCGAUGGUGGUUCAGUCCCUCCGAAUUACCUCUGAACCUCCUUAAAUCCGUCCCCUCCACCUUAGUAUACCUUAAUAUAUAGGAUAGAAUAGAUUCAUUAUUUUUGAAAGAAAAAAAAACCAGGAACAGGAAAAGGACAAAAGAGUUGUUCACGUCUGUCGCCAGUAGUGCAACUGAUAGUUCAGAACCUAUCUAUCCAUCAUUCCUUGAAUAAGCUGCAGAUCGACGAAGGCCAUGCCAGCACACUACUAAGACUCAUCCAUCGCCCCAACGAUAGACUGCUAAUCAAAACAUGCAUCUAAGCGCGCAAAGAGCAGUGCCAUUUACUUAAACGGACGCGGUUUUAUUCUUGUUACGGCUCAUUUAUUGCAAGGUGUACUUUAGAAUGUAGCAGAACAUAACCAUUGUUGCUAGUUGUAUCAGGAAUCUACAUAUAUAUAUAUAUAUAUAUAUAUAUAUGGAUGUGUCGGUACUGUAGAAAAAAGCUAAAGUGUCUUGUUUGGAUAGCCAUUUAAAAAAAAAAAUUUUGCUACAUUUUUCGUGAACACAUUUCUCAAUUACCUUUUAAUUUCACAUAUAUCAAAUCGUUACAAUAAUUUAUAAAAAAAAAUUUUUAAAAUACAAUCCAAACGUAAUCAUAGGCCACGAAAAAAAAGUUUCAACAGGCUACUAUCCUUCGUAGAUAGGCCAUCAAAGCAAACAAAUCAUCGUGCAACUGCAAGUAAUUAAAACCAUUGUAGAUAGGCCAUCAAAGCAAACAAAUCAUCGUGCAACUGCAAGUAAUUAAAACCUACGCAAACAAUGGGUUUGUUUGAAUAGGGUAUUAUUUAAAAUAUUAUUUGGAAUAAUUAUUGUAUCAUUUUUUAUGAUGUGAUGUAUGUGAAAUAAAAAGGUGAUUGGAAAUAUAAAAAGGUAGGUUGGGAAAUGUGUUUGUGAUGCAAGCAAAAUAUUAUUUGAAAUAAUUGAGGUAUCCAAACACUCCCAUUUUUUGAGUACUAGCAGCAAGACACCACUCUCUCGAUCCCCACGCUACAAAUAUCACGAAAAAUACAAUUUAAUACUAGUAGUUAGAACCCAGAAAAGAAGGGGAGAAGAAAACUGCACUAAUCAUAUCUCCUAACAGAAGGAGAUUACAUGAUGGAAUCUAUAGAUUGAUCAUUAAUGUCCACCGCCUCUCCGAACGCAUACAUUAAGAAGAAGAAGAAGAAAAGAGAGAGAUCAUUGAGUUGUGAGCACCUGGUAAUCAACCAACGUCCGGACUAACUUAAAGCAAGAGCGCACGAAAGAAAAUUCCAUGCUUAAAAGCACGGGGAAUGUGAAUCAUGAUAACCUACUCAUCAUUCAUGAUCCAGACACAAAACAGCCAAAACACAAUACCCAGGUAAAAUUCGUUUACUGCUUCCAAACCGCAUGUAACACUAUGAAGAUGGACUUGCAUGUUUGUUGAUGUAAUCAAAAUCAAAUCUCCUACUUUCCUUUCGGAAGUGAUAAAUCAAGCGGGGAGAAAAAAUAAACUAAAAGAAAAGCAAGAGCCAUCAUCAUUUUUAACGCCUGAUUACGUGGUGUCGUAUCUUAAUCCAAUUUCAGCUUGUCCAUUUGCACAAGUGGAAUCAAUAAACAUUAAUCAGCGAAAGAUUAACCACAAGACAAAGCUUAAAGACGAAACAAAAGUUGGUAACCCUAAUGAAUUGUUGAAGCGAAACCUUAACAGGAGAUAAAAAGAGAAAAAGUACUCUCCUAUAAGUGCCUUGCCUUGUCCAUCACAGAUCUUGUCGAUCAUAAUUAUUACUUAUAUAAAUAAAUAACUAUGGGGCGCAACUUUGAAGAAUGCUUGUGAGGACCAGGCUUAAUGUUUGUCGAGGAGGGUUUUGAAUAGCUAGGACUAACUGGUUUGAUGAGACACCAUUUAAAUAGAUACAAUCAAAGAUCACUUUCUACAAUACGCAUCGUCCGUAAGCUUAAGAAAUCAAAUCCAAGUGACAUAAUACAAGUGAUCGAGAGAGAUUCAUAAAUCCAAACCACAAAAAACCAACAAAAAAAAAAAAAAAAACCGCGUAGCUCAAUCUUGUCUUCUUGAACUUCCAAAAAAGGCUAAUAAGCAAAUUCACAAGCAAAUAAAAUAUAGUAGCACCACUAGUAUGCGCUUUUAUCUAACAAGAUCUAACAUUACCUUUUAAGUUCAAACCACAAAGCCAAAGGCAACCCGGAGGAGGAGGAGGAGGAGGAGUUGUAAUUGUUGUAAGAAAGAAAAGAUGGCCAGCUAACUUGCUAGCUAUACAGGCGCGAGUUAGUUUUGCUUGAUCUAGCAAAGUAGAGAUCGGACCAUGAUGCUUGAUUCCCCGAAGCAAGCUGACUUUGAUCAAAGUCUUUAUUAGUCGAAAGUGAAAGAAAGAAGAAGACCCUCGAGAGCUUGAGUUUCUUCUUCUCCCAGAUGGAGCAGGAGGAGGUUUCGGUCUUCAACUUCAUCCUCAGCCAACAACAGCCUGUGAUGUCCACGUUGUUUGUGAUUUUUAUUUCUCUCUUUCAUGAUAUUCGUCUUUGUUGGUGUGGAUAAUGAUGAUGGUUUGAGUUUUUCAGCGUAGUUGUGGGAGCAAUGAUGAUGGCUCUGGAGAAGGUAAGGUGGUACUGGUGCCACAGAGAACAUGAUGAUUACUUUUGGUUUCUGGCGUUGAAAGAAGAGAAGGAUACUACCUAAGCUAAGAGAAAAGAGAGAGCAAACCCUCCAGUAGUAUUUUUUUUGUGCAGUCUCUUUCUUGCCCUCGGAGAUUUGCACCGGUGUCCACUGAUAAGGAGAGAGAAUUUGUGGAAAGAAAUAUUUACUUCAUUCAUCCGAACCUCUUCGCCGUGGAGUCUUGUACAGACCAUUUAAUUAGUACUAACUAAUAACAAUCCCUGACUCCCGUGACGGCCGUCUGCUUGGGGUAUCCCUCCAACCCCGUAAUGU
rnacentral:lncRNA from 1 species